rnacentral:lncRNA from 1 species
GGGCGCUUGAGAGAGAGGAUUGCCUUGAAGAUCCCCACAAUCACGCGGCGAGGUGAAGGUGAGAAGCGGCAGCGGCGCGAGGAAGAAGACCGGAGGGUGAGGGGUGGCCACUCUGGCCAUCUCCUUCUUGGAUUCGGUGGGGGAGAAGGGAGUUGGAGGCGCAGGAGGCCGGCGGAGGCGGUCGGCGAGUGGCCAGUGGAGGCGAGCAAGGCGAUGGCUGGCGAAGGUGCUAUCGAGGUGGAGUUGGCUGUUGAGGUGGCUGGAGAAGCUGUUGGCCGGCGGGGUUUUAGUGGUGAUGGGUGA